UACGUAGGGGGCUAGCGUUGUCCGGAAUCAUUGGGCGUAAAGAGCGCGUAGGCGGCCAGAUAAGUCCGGUGUGAAAGUCACAGGCUCAACCUGUGAAUGCCGCUGGAAACUGUCUGGCUAGAGUCCGGAAGGGGCGAGUGGAAUUCCUGGUGUAGCGGUGAAAUGCGCAGAUAUCAGGAGGAACACCGGUGGCGAAGGCGGAUCUCUGGGCCUUACCUGACGCUCAGGCGCGAAAGCUAGGGGAGCGAACAGG
rnacentral:rRNA from 1 species